rnacentral:rRNA from 1 species
CAAAUGUAAAGCUAGGCUAUACAUGCAAGUCGAGCGGACAGAUGGGAGCUUGCUCCCUGAUGUUAGCGGCGGACGGGUGAGUAACACGUGGGUAACCUGCCUGUAAGACUGGGAUAACUCCGGGAAACCGGGGCUAAUACCGGAUGGUUGUUUGAACCGCAUGGUUCAGACAUAAAAGGUGGCUUCGGCUACCACUUACAGAUGGACCCGCGGCGCAUUAGCUAGUUGGUGAGGUAACGGCUCACCAAGGCGACGAUGCGUAGCCGACCUGAGAGGGUGAUCGGCCACACUGGGACUGAGACACGGCCCAGACUCCUACGGGAGGCAGCAGUAGGGAAUCUUCCGCAAUGGACGAAAGUCUGACGGAGCAACGCCGCGUGAGUGAUGAAGGUUUUCGGAUCGUAAAGCUCUGUUGUUAGGGAAGAACAAGUGCCGUUCAAAUAGGGCGGCACCUUGACGGUACCUAACCAGAAAGCCACGGCUAACUACGUGCCAGCAGCCGCGGUAAUACGUAGGUGGCAAGCGUUGUCCGGAAUUAUUGGGCGUAAAGGGCUCGCAGGCGGUUUCUUAAGUCUGAUGUGAAAGCCCCCGGCUCAACCGGGGAGGGUCAUUGGAAACUGGGGAACUUGAGUGCAGAAGAGGAGAGUGGAAUUCCACGUGUAGCGGUGAAAUGCGUAGAGAUGUGGAGGAACACCAGUGGCGAAGGCGACUCUCUGGUCUGUAACUGACGCUGAGGAGCGAAAGCGUGGGGAGCGAACAGGAUUAGAUACCCUGGUAGUCCACGCCGUAAACGAUGAGUGCUAAGUGUUAGGGGGUUUCCGCCCCUUAGUGCUGCAGCUAACGCAUUAAGCACUCCGCCUGGGGAGUACGGUCGCAAGACUGAAACUCAAAGGAAUUGACGGGGGCCCGCACAAGCGGUGGAGCAUGUGGUUUAAUUCGAAGCAACGCGGAAGAACCUUACCAGGUCUUGACAUCCUCUGACAAUCCUAGAGAUAGGGACGUCCCCUUUCGGGGGCAGAGUGACAGUGGUGCAUGGUUGUCGUCAGCUCGUGUCGUGAGAUGUUGGGGUUAAGUCCCCGCAACGAGCGCACCCUUGAUCGUAGUGCAGCAUCAGUGGGCACCUCUAGUGACUGCCGGUGACAACCCGGAGGCGUGGAAUGACGUCGAAUCAUCAUGCCCCUUAUGACCUUGGGCUUAC